UCCCUGGUGGUCCAGUGGUAAGGACUCUGCACUUUCACUGUGGAGGGCCUAGGUUCAGUGCCUGGUUGGGGAA
rfam:Ovis aries breed Texel chromosome 12, whole genome shotgun sequence.